rnacentral:rRNA from 1 species
GUCUGGAGCCCUUCGACCCUGGCUUGAUCUUGGAAGCUAAGCAGGGUAGGGACUGGCUAGAACUUGGUAAGGGAGACUGCCUGGGAAAACCGGGCGCUCAAAAAC